UCCUUGGUGGCUCAGUGGUAAAGAAUCUGCCUGCAAUGCAGGAGCCCCAGGUUUGAUCCCUGGGUUGGGAA
rnacentral:tRNA from 1 species